CCGCUGAGACAUCGGUUCCAGUACGAUCACCGAAGUUAAGCAAAUUCGAGUUUGAAAAGUACUUAGAUAUGUGACCACUUGUAAAUACCAGGUGAUGUA